rnacentral:rRNA from 1 species
UACGGGGGGGGCAAGCGUUGUUCGGAAUUACUGGGCGUAAAGGGCGCGUAGGCGGCUUAACAAGUCACUUGUGAAAUCUCCGGGCUUAACUCGGAACGGCCAAGUGAAACUGUCAAGCUAGAGUGCAGAAGGGGCAAUCGGAAUUCUUGGUGUAGCGGUGAAAUGCGUAGAUAUCAAGAGGAACACCUGAGGUGAAGACGGGUUGCUGGGCUGACACUGACGCUGAGGCGCGAAAGCCAGGGGAGCAAACGGG